rnacentral:rRNA from 1 species
AUGAAGACGGUGUUUGUGAAUAGGAUGGUCAGAGCUGGUUUCAAAGUCAAAAUCUUGAUAGCAGAUUGGUUUGCCCAGAUGAGCUAUAAGAUUGUUAGUGAUCUGGAUAAAAUACGGACUAUCAGCCAGUACAAUAUUGAGGCGUGGAAGGCAGCUGGCAUGGACCUUACCAGGGUGGAGCUUGUUUGGCUGUCAGAUGUAAUGAAUAUCCAUGCAGCCAAUUUUUGGCCCCUUGUCAUGGAUGUUAGCCAAAAAUACACCGUUGAUAACAUAAAGAGAAUCCCUUAUGGACCGAGAAUAUUGCAUGUUACACAGAUACUUUUGCCUUGCCUUCAGUGUGCUGCCAUGUUAUUCCAAAAGCAGGUGGAUAUAUGGCUGUUGGACAUGGAUCAGAGAGAGGUUUCCAUUCUAGCUAGAAAGUACUUUGAGGACAUAAAAAGGGAAAAUGGACCUAUCAUUCUGUUGAACCAUAUGCUUCCUGAUUUACUAGAAUACCCUGAAAUUGCGGAGAAGUUAGAUCGUGCACGUGCUAUCUCUAUGGAAGAUACUGAGGUAUGUUUGGCUUGUGUUAAUUCUUGUUGUCCUCUUGUGGGCUCAUUAUUAACUCAAACUAUGCACUAG